UCUUAGCUUGCUAAGGCCGAUGGCGACCGGCGCACGGGUGAGUAACACGUAUCCAACCUGCCGUCUACUCUUGGACAGCCUUCUGAAAGGAAGAUUAAUACAAGAUGGCAUCAUGAGUUCACAUGUUCACAUGAUUAAAGAAUUUCGGUCAUCGAUGGGGAUGCGUUCCAUUAGGUUGUUGGUGAGGUAACGGCUCACCAAACCUUCGAUGGAUAGGGGUUCUGAGAGGAAGGUCCCCACAUUGGAACUGAGACACGGUCCAAACUCC
rnacentral:rRNA from 1 species